CUACGGGCGGCACCAGUGGGGAAUUUUGCGCAAUGGGGGAAACCCUGACGCAGCAAUACCGCGUGAGUGAAGAAGGCCUUUGGGUCGUAAAGCUCUUUUCUUGGGGAAGAUAGUGACGGUACCCAAGGAAUAAGCACCGGCUAACUCCGUGCCAGCAGCCGCGGUAAUACGGAGGGUGCAAGCGUUGUUCGGAUUUACUGGGCGUAAAGGGCACGUAGGCGGCACAGCAAGUUAAGGGUGAAAUCCCGGGGCUCAACUCCGGAACUGCUCUUAAAACUGCUGAGCUAGAGCUAGUCAGAGGCGGGUGGAAUUCCAGGUGUAGAGGUGAAAUUCGUAGAUAUCUGGAGGAACACCGGUGGCGAAGGCGGCCCGCUGGGGCUAUUCUGACGCUAAGGUGCGAAAGCGUGGGGAGCAAACGGGAUUAGAUACCCCGGUAGUC
rnacentral:rRNA from 1 species